CAAUUUUGAAUUAGUCAGAUUGUUGAAAACCGUUAGUCAUCUGGGGAUGAAGAUAGAGUAUACGCUUCUGGUGAUUUUGCUUGUUGCCUCAGUAAUUUCUUGUGGUGUAGCUGCAGAUUCGGAGGAGGAAGUUGGAGAAGGACCAGAAAAAGGGGAAAGGCGGAGAUAAGAGGGAUGCACGAUAAGAGAAGAAUGAGGGGUCUAGUUCGGAGUUGAAAAUGGAAUCUAAAGAAGGGAGAUUGCUACCGGUAAGAGAAGAAUGUGAUUCCUCGUCGAAUCAUUGUAUGGAUGAUGAUAAGACAUUGGUUGCUUGCCUGAGAGUUCCUGGGAAUGGUAUAUGAUUUGCUUUCACAUUAUGAGGUUACUUUUUGUUUAUUUCUCUUCAUUGGAUUGUUGUAUCUGUUAUGGUUAAGCUGUUUGAAUUCCGAAUAAAGAUGUAUGCAGUACUUAGUGUUGUGACAAGAAUUGGGGGACAUGUGAUCUUUACUUCUUACAAUAUACUUGCUUGUUCUCCAAUUGUUCUAAUGAUAUCAACAAGCAAAGUUUCAAGCCUCUGACUCAGUUCAGCUAGAAAGGAAACAGAUUGAGCUGCAAGAGAACAAAGAUGCUGAGGUCAAGGUUCCUCUCGGAGAUGUGAAAAACGGCCACUUCAUUGUCCUGACAGCAGGACCAUGGCAACUGCACUCUCGAUUUGAAAGAUGAAUUCGAGAGCAGGAAGCGGAUAAUCAUAACCCGAGCUCCUCAAAUUUGAGCAUCUUUAACAGUUUAGAACUACUACUACUACUCUACUUAUUGUAUGUAUAGCAACUCCAGUAUGCCAUGCUGUAUUUUUUUAUGCUUCAUUGUCACAAAAUAAAAUAAUACUCCAG